AGCAGCCGCGGUAAUUCCAGCUCCAAUAGCGUAUAUUAAAGUUGUUGCAGUUAAAAAGCUCGUAGUUGAAUUUCGGGGUCAGUAGGUCGGUCAUGCCACAGGUAUGCACUGGUCUCACUGAUUCCUCCUUCCUGAUGAACCGUAAUGCCAUUAAUUUGGUGUUGCGGGGAGACUGGACUGUUACUUUGAAAAAUUAGAGUGUUUAAAGCAGGCUAACGCUUGAAUACAUUAGCAUGGAAUAACGGAAUAGGACGUUCGAUCUUAUUUUGUUGGUUUCUAAGAUUGACGUAAUGAUUAAUAGGGAUAGUUGGGGGCAUUAGUAUUCAAUUGUCAGAGGUGAAAUUCUUGGAUUUAUUGAAGACUAACUACUGCGAAAGCAUUUGCCAAGGAUGUUUUCAUUAAUCAAGAACGAAAGUUAGGGGAUCGAAGACGAUCAGAUACCGUCGUAGUCUUAACCAUAAACUAUGCCGACUAGGGAUCGGAUGAUGUUAAUUUUUAAUGACUCAUUCGGCGCCG
rnacentral:rRNA from 1 species